UACAGAGGGUGCGAGCGUUAAUCGGAAUUACUGGGCGUAAAGGGUGCGUAGGUGGUUGGACAAGUUGGGUGUGAAAGUCCUGGGCUUAACCUGGGGAUUGCAUUUGAUACUGUCUGGCUAGAGUACUGUAGAGGAAGGUGGAAUUUCCAGUGUAGCGGUGAAAUGCGUAGAUAUUGGAAGGAACAUCAGUGGCGAAGGCGACUUUCUGGACAGAUACUGACACUGAGGCACGAAAGCAUGGGGAGCAAACAGG
rnacentral:rRNA from 1 species